rnacentral:rRNA from 1 species
UGAAUACGAGAUGCUACGGCGUCGAAGCAGUCUAUGUCAUACUUCCAAGAAAAGCUUGCACUGUCAUAAACAAAUAAUGCCUGUACCAUAACCGACACAGGUGGGUAGGUAGAGUAUACUAAGGGGCGCGAGAUAACUCUCUCUAAGGAACUCGGCAAAAUGACUCCGUAACUUCGGGAGAAGGAGUGCCUUAUUUAUAAGGUUGCAAUAACAAGAUCCAAGCAACUGUUUACCAAAAACACAGGUCUCCGCUAAGUCGUAAGACGAUGUAUGGGGGCUGACGCCAGCCCAGUGCCAGAAGGUUAAAGAAGUUGGUUAGCAUCCGCGAGGCUGAUAACUGAAGCCCUGGUGAACGGCGGCCGUAACAAUAACGGUCCUAAGGUAGCGAAAUUCCUUGUCGGGUAAGUUCCGACCCGCACGAAAGGCGUAAUGAUUUGGAUACUGUCUCGGAGAGGGGCUCGGUGAAAUAGACUUGUCUGUGAAGAUGCGGACUACCUGCACCAGGACAGAAAGACCCUAUGAAGCUUUACUGUAACCUGAAAUUGAAAUUGGACUUUACUUGCGCAGUAUAGGUGGGAGGCGUUGAGAAUAUUCUUGCGGGAUUAUUGGAGCCAUCAGUGAGAUACCACUCUUGUAAUGUUAGAUUUCUAACUUUGUAUCAUUAUCUGGUCAAAGAACAGUUUCAGGCGGGCAGUUUGACUGGGGCGGUCGCCUCCUAAACGGUAACGGAGGCGCACAAAGGUUUCCUCUGAACGGGUAGAAAUCGUAUCUAGAGUGUAAAGGCAUAAGGAAGCUUGACUGUGAGACCUACAAGUCGAGCAGGGACGAAAGUCGGUCUUAGUGAUCUGACGGUGCAGAGUGGAAAGGCCGUCACUCAACGGAUAAAAGUUACUCUAAGGAUAACAGGCUGAUCUCCCCCAAGAGUUCACAUCGACGGGGAGGUUUGGCACCUCGAUGUCGGCUCAUCGCAUCCUGGGGCGGUAGUACGUCCCAAGGGUUGGGCUGUUCGCCCAUGAAAGCGGUACGCGAGCUGGGUUCAGAACGUCGUGAGACAGUUCGGUCCAUAUCCGGUGUAGGCGUUAGAAUAUUGGGAGGAGCCUUCUUUAGUACGAGAGGACCGAGAAGGACAUACCUCUGGUGUACCAGUUAUCGUGCCAACGGUAAACGCUGGGUAGCUAUGUGUGGAGUGGAUAACCGCUGAAAGCAUCUAAGUGGGAAGCCCACCUCAAGAUAAG